rfam:Felis catus breed Abyssinian Contig51598.1, whole genome shotgun sequence. [26-MAY-2016]
GCCUGGGUGGCUCAGUCGGUUAGGUGUCUGACUCCAGCUCAGGUUAUGAUCUCACAGUUUGUGGGUUCGAGCCCCGCAUCGGGCU